rnacentral:rRNA from 1 species
UAUCAAAAACAUGUCUUUUUGAGAUUUAUUUAAAGUUUAAUCUGCCCAUUGAUUUUUUAAAAGGCUGCAGUAUUUUGACUGUACAAAGGUAGCAUAAUCAAUAGUUUUUUAAUUGAAAACUUGUAUGAAUGAUUGAAUGAAGUGUAUACUGUUUCAUAAAAAUUAAAUUAAAAUUUAAAUUUUUAGUUAAAAAGCUAAAAUAAAAUUAAAGGACGAUAAGACCCUAUAAAGUUUUAUAAUUUUAAUAUAAUAAUAUAUUUAAUUUAAUUGAUAUUUUUAUAAUUAAAAUUAUUUUGUUGGGGAGAUAAUAAAAUUUAUGAAACUUUUAUUUUUUAAAACAUUGAUUAAUGAUUUUAUGAUCCUAUAUUAUAGAUUAAAAAUUUAAAUUACUUUAGGGAUAACAGCGUUAUUUUUUUUUUAAGUUCUUAUUUAUAAGAAAGAUUGCGACCUCGAUGUUGGAUUAAAAUUAAUUUUAGGUGCAGUAGUUUAAAGUAUUAAGUCUGUUCGACUUUUAAAUUUUUACGUGAUCUGAGUC